rnacentral:rRNA from 1 species
UAGGGAAUAUUGGACAAUGAGCGAAAGCUUGAUCCAGCUAUGCCGCGUGUGCGAUGACGGCCCUCGGGUUGUAAAGCACUUUAGGUAACGAGGAAAAGUUAAGUGUUAAUACCACUUAACCAUGACGUUAAUUACAGAAUAAGCACCGGCUAAAUCCGUGCCAGCAGCCGCGGUAAUACGGAUGGUGCAAGCGUUAAUCGGAAUUACUGGGCGUAAAGCGCGCGUAGGUGGCAUACUAAGUUAGAUGUGAAAUCCCGGGGCUUAACCUCGGAACUGCAUCUAAAACUGGUAAGCUAGAGUACUAGAGAGGAAAGUAGAAUUCUUAGUGUAGCGGUGGAAUGCGUAGAUAUUAAGAGGAAUACCAAUGGCGAAGGCAACUUUCUGGAUAGAUACUGACACUGAGGUGCGAAAGCGUGGGGAGCAAACAGG